CCCUUAGAUGUUCUGGGCCGCACGCGCGCUACACUGAUGCAUUCAACGAGCCUAUCCUUGACCGACAGGUCCGGGUAAUCUUUGAAUCUGCAUCGUGACGGGGAUAGAUUAUUGCAAUUAUUAAUCUUCAACGAGGAAUGCCUAGUAGGCGCAAGUCAUCAGCUUGCGUUGAUUACGUCCCUGCCCUUUGUACACACCGCCCGUCGCUCCUACCGAUUGAAUGGUCCGGUGAAGCGUUCGGACCGUGGCCUUUGGACGGUUCGCCGUCUGUUGGCUGCGGGAAGUUCGUUAAACCUUAUCAUUUAGAGGAAGGAGAAGUCGUAACA
rnacentral:rRNA from 1 species